AGGUCCACUCCAAGGCCACUGCUGUCUUUGGUAGUGCUGACAGGGUACUGGGAUCUCCCCUGUAACUGGGCUGCACCUUCAUUCAUAGCCUCUCCUGGGAUCUCUUCAGUGCUCUAAGCCAGCUUCAUGGUACCAAACCUCAACUUCUCUCUAUGGGGCGCUCUUCAAUUUGAGGCUUCUACUGCAACUGAAGGUUCACCUUCACAAGGGGCCUUUUUCACAGUGCCAUGCCUCAGCUGCUCUCCAUAACCCCUUGAUGCCUUCAAAACAAUUUCAGCUUCAGCUAAAUGACAACCCAGAAAGCAAAGGUUUUUACUUGUGCUGUUGGUCUUUUUUAAUCACAGCUCCAGCUAACCAGAAUAUAUAUUAUAUAUAUAAUUUUUUUUUUCCAAGACAGGAUUUCUUUGUGUAGCCCUGGCUGUCGUCGAACUAGCUCUGUAAACUAGGCUGACCUCAAACUCACAGAGAUCCACCUGCUUCUGCCUGGCAUUAAAGGUGCACACUACUACCACCUUUAAAAAGACUACAGAUUCUUUUUCUUAAUUUACUUUACUACAGAUUCUUUUAUUUAUUUACAUUCUAAAUUUUGUCCUCCUCUCAGCCCCCUUUGCAGAGGUCUUCCUCUCAUCCCUCUCACCUCUGAGAGCCCUCCUCCUCCCCCCAAAGCCUCCCCCCCCUCUCCAAACCUCCCCCUUCCCUAAGGCAUCAAGUCUCUACAGGAUUAGGCACAUCCUCUCCCACUGAGGCCAGAAAAGGCAGUUCUCUGCUAUAUAUGAGGGGGUCAGGGGAUGGGAUGUGGAGUUGGUUCAGACCAUCCCAGGAGUUCAGGUUAGUUGACACUGUUGGUCUUCCUGUGGGGUUGCCAUUCCUUUCAGUUCCUUCAGUCUUUCCCCUAACUCUUCCAUAGGGGUCCCCGGACCUCAGUCCAAUGCUUGGCUGUGAGUAUCUAUAUCUGUCUCAGUCAGCUGCUGGUAGAGCCUCUCAGAGGACAGCCAUGCUAGGCUUCUGUCUGCAAGCCCAGUAUAGCAUCAGUAAUGGUGUCAGAGUUUGGUCCUUACCCAUGGGAUGGAUCCCAAGUUGGACCUGUCACUGGUCAGCCAUUUGUUCACUCUCUGCUCCAUUUUUGUCCCUGAAUUUCUUUUAGGGACAGUUUUGGGUCAGAAAAUUUGAAGGUGGGUUGGUGACCUCAUCCCUCCACAGGAGACCCUGUCUAACUACUGGAGGUGGUCUCUUGAGGUUCCAUAUCCCCACUGUUGGGCAUUUCAGCUAAGUAUCCAAAAUAUAUAAAGAACUCAAGAAGUUAGACUCAGAAAACCAAAUAACCCAAUUAAAAAAUGGGGUACAGAGCUAAACAGAGAAUUCCAAACAGAGGACUCUUGAAUGAGAAGAAGAAAUGUUCAGCAUUCUUAGACAUCAGAGAAAUGUAAAUCAAAAUCACCCUGAGAUUCCACUUUAUACCAAUCAGAAUGGUUAAGAGCACUGACUGC
rnacentral:lncRNA from 1 species